CCUACGGGAGGCAGCAGUGGGGGAUAUUGCACAAUGGAGGAAACUCUGAUGCAGCGACGCCGCGUGAGGGAAGACGCUCUUCGGCUCGUAAACCUCUGUCUGCGGGGAAGAAAAUGACGGUACCCAAAGAGGAAGCUCCCGCUAACUAAGUGCCAGCAGCCGCAGUAAUACGUAGGGAGCGAGCGUUUUCCGGAAUUACUGGGUGUAAAGGGAGCGGCGACGGCGUGCCAAGUCUGAUGGGAAAGGCCGGGGCUCAACCCCGGGACUGCAUUUGAAACUGGCAUGCUGGAGUGCCGGAGGGGCAGGCGGAAUUCCUGGUGUAGCGGUGAAAUGCGUAGAUAUUAGGAGGAACACCGGUGGCGAAGGCGGCUUGCUGGACGGUGACUGACGUUGAGGCUCGAAAGCGUGGGGAGCAAACAGGAUUAGAUACCCGAGUAGUC
rnacentral:rRNA from 1 species